AUUGAACGCUGGCGGCAGGCCUAACACAUGCAAGUCGAGCGAGCGGCGGACGGGUGAGUAAUGUAGGGGGACUGCCCGAUAGCGGGGGAUCACUACUGGAAACGGUGGCUAAUACCGAAUACUGUCGGCUUACCCAUGUGGGAUUCGCUAGUCGGUAAGGUAAUGGCUUACCUAGGCGACGAUCCCUAGCUGAUCUGCGAGGAUGAUCAGCCACACUGGGACUGAGACACGGCCCAGACUCCUACGGAGGCAGCAGUGGGGAAUAUUGCACAAUGGGCGCAAGCCUGAGGCAGCCAUGCCGCGUGUAUGAAGAAGGCCCUAGGGUUGUAAAGUACUUUCAUUCGGGAGGCGUUACCGACAGAAGAAGCACCGGCUAACUCCGUGCCAGCCGCCGCGGUAAUUC
rnacentral:rRNA from 1 species